UACGAAGGGGGGCUAGCGUUGUUCGGAAUUACUGGGCGUAAAGCGCGCGCAGGCGGCUUGGUAAGUUGGGGGGUGAAAUCCCUGGGCUCAACCCAGGAAUGGCCUUCAAGACUGCUUGGCUGGAGGACGAGAGAGGUGAGUGGAAUUCCCAGUGUAGAGGUGAAAUUCGUAGAUAUUGGGAAGAACACCGGUGGCGAAGGCGGCUCACUGGCUCGUUUCUGACGCUGAGGUGCGAAAGCUAGGGUAGCAAACGGG
rnacentral:rRNA from 1 species